UGGGGAAUAUUGGGCAAUGGGCGAAAGCCUGACCCAGCAACGCCGCGUGAAGGAUGAAGGUUUUCGGAUUGUAAACUUCUUUUAUGUGGGAAGAUAAUGACGGUACCACAUGAAUAAGCCACGGCUAACUACGUGCCAGCAGCCGCGGUAAUACGUAGGUGGCAAGCGUUGUCCGGAUUUACUGGGUGUAAAGGGCGAGUAGGCGGGACCGAAAGUCAGAUGUGAAAUUUAGAGGCUUAACUUCUAAACUGCAUUUGAAACUUCGGUUCUUGAGUGAUGGAGAGGCAGGCGGAAUUCCCGGUGUAGCGGUGGAAUGCGUAGAUAUCGGGAGGAACACCAGUGGCGAAGGCGGCCUGCUGGACAUUAACUGACGCUGAGGAGCGAAAGCGUGGGGAGCAAACA
rnacentral:rRNA from 1 species